rnacentral:rRNA from 1 species
GACGAACGCUGGCGGCGUGCUUAACACAUGCAAGUCGAACGGAAAGGCCCUGCUUUUGUGGGGUGCUCGAGUGGCGAACGGGUGAGUAACACGUGAGUAACCUGCCCCUGACUUUGGGAUAACUUCAGGAAACUGGGGCUCAUACCGGAUAGGAGCUCCUGCUGCAUGGUGGGGGUUGGAAAGUUUCGGCGGUUGGGGAUGGACUCGCGGCUUAUCAGCUUGUUGGUGGGGUAGUGGCUUACCAAGGCUUUGACGGGUAGCCGGCCUGAGAGGGUGACCGGCCACAUUGGGACUGAGAUACGGCCCAGACUCCUACGGGAGGCAGCAGUGGGGAAUAUUGCACAAUGGGCGGAAGCCUGAUGCAGCAACGCCGCGUGCGGGAUGACGGCCUUCGGGUUGUAAACCGCUUUCGCCUGGGACGAAGCGUGAGUGACGGUAAUGGGUAAAGAAGCACCGGCUAACUACGUG